rnacentral:rRNA from 1 species
GACGAACGCUGGCGGCGUGCUUAACACAUGCAAGUCGAACGGAAAGGCCCCUUUGGGGGUACUCGAGUGGCGAACGGGUGAGUAACACGUGAGUAACCUGCCCUUGACUUCGGGAUAACUUCAGGAAACUGGGGCUAAUACCGGAUAGGAAUCCUUGCUGCAUGGUGGGGGUUGGAAAGCUUCGGCGGUUUUGGAUGGACUCGCGGCUUAUCAGCUUGUUGGUGGGGUAGUGGCUUACCAAGGCUUUGACGGGUAGCCGGCCUGAGAGGGCGACCGGCCACAUUGGGACUGAGAUACGGCCCAGACUCCUACGGGUGGCAGCAGUGGGGAAUAUUGCACAAUGGGCGGAAGCCUGAUGCAGCAACGCCGCGUGCGGGAUGACGGCCUUCGGGUUGUAAACCGCUUUCAGCAGGGGCGAAGCUUGUGGUGACGGUACCUGCAGAAGAAGCACCGGCUAACUACGUG